rnacentral:rRNA from 1 species
GGUGAACGCUGGCGGCGUGGAUGAGGCAUGCAAGUCGAAUGGGUUUAGACCCAUGGCAGACGAGGUAGGAACACGUAGGUACAUACCGAGAAGUCAGGGAUAACCUGGAGAAAUCCAGAAUAAUACUUGAUAGUCCCUUCGGGGUAAAGAUUUAUCGCUUCUUGAAUGGCCUGCGGUCUAUCAGCUUGAUGGUAAGGUAACGGCUUACCAUGGCUACGACGGAUAGGGGAGGUGAGAGCCUGGCCCCCACCGAUGGAACUGCGACACGGUCCAU